AGGUGAAAAGCACUUCGAACAGAAGAGUGAAAUAGUCCCUGAACCCAUACGCCUACAAGCUGUCGGAGCCGCUUCGUGCGGUGACGGCGUGCCUUUUGCAUAAUGAGCCUACGAGUUACUCAUCACCAGCGAGGUUAAGUACUUCAGGUACGUAAGCCGAAGCGAAAGCGAGUCUGAAUAGGGCGUCAAGUUGGUGGUGGUAGACGCGAAACCUUAGUGAUCUACCCAUGGGCAGGGUGAAGGUUUGGUAACACAAACUGGAGGCCCGAACCGGUAAACGUUGAAAAGUUUUCGGAUGACCUGUGGGUAGGGGUGAAAGGCCAAUCAAACUGGGAAAUAGCUCGUACUCUCCGAAAUGCAUUUAGGUGCAGCCUCUGUUGUUUUGUUCUAGAGGUAGAGCUACUGAUUGGAUGCGAGGGCUUCACCGCCUAUCAAAUCCGGCCAAACUCCGAAUGCUAGAACAUGAAGACAGGGAGUGAGCCAGCGGGUGCUAAGGUCCGUUGACGAAAGAGGGAGAACUCAGACCAUCAGCUAAGGUCCCCAAUUAUAUGCUAAGUUGGAAUUAAAACGGGGUGGGACUGCUUAGACAGCUAGGAUGUUGGCUUGGAAGCAGCCAUUCAUUUAAAGAGUGCGUAACAGCUCACUAGUCGAGCGGUCCUGCAUGGAUAAUACGCGGGCAUAAGCAUAUAACCGAAGCUAUGGGAUUGUAGAUGAUACAAUCGGUAGGAGAGCAUUCCAUUCAGCAUAGAAGCAGUAUCGUGAGGUAUUGUGGAGCGGAUGGAAAAGCAAAUGUAGGCAUAAGUAACGAUAAUGCGGGUGAGAACCCCGCACGCCGAAAGAUCAAGGAUUCCCCGGCAAUGUCAAUCAUCCGGGGGUAAGUCGGAUCCUAAGGGUAAGCCGAGUGGCGAUCCCGAUGGCAAACAGGUUAAUAUUCCUGUACUGAUCAUAACUGCGAUGCAGCGACGCAGAGGUGACACUGCUGCGUACUGACGGAAUAGUACGUUGAAACCCGUAUUCUUUGAUACCGGUAGUGAAGCACGCCGGUAGAGAUGAAAGGUGAUAGUACCGCAAUGCUUCGGUUGCGCGGAUAACGCAGGUAAGCUGACUGCCAAGAAAACCUGCUAAGCUUCAGGUAAUGAUCAUCCGUACUGUAAACGGACACACGUGAUCAGGUAGAAAAUACUAAGGCGCUCGAGAGAUUCAUGGUUAAGGAACUAGGCAAAAUGGUCCUGUAACUUCGGGAUAAAGGACGCUCUUGUGAAAGAGCCGCAGAUAAUAGGCCCAGGCGACUGUUUACCAAAAACACAUGGCUAUGCUAAUUCGCAAGAAGAUGUAUAUGGCCUGACACCUGCCCGGUGCCGGAAGGUUAAGAGGAGAGCUCAGAGGCAACUCGAAGGUUUGAAUUGAAGCCCCGGUAAACGGCGGCCGUAACUAUAACGGUCCUAAGGUAGCGAAAUUCCUUGUCGGGUAAGUUCCGACCUGCACGAAUGGUGUAACGAUCUGGGUACUGUCUCAACCAUGAGCUCGGUGAAAUUGUAGUUCCGGUGAAGAUGCCGGAUACCCGCAACGGGACGGAAAGACCCCGUGAACCUUUACUGCAGCUUUGCAUUGAUUUUGGGUAACAGAUGUGUAGGAUAGGUCGGAGGCUUUGAUGCUGCGUCGUCAGGCGUAGAGUAGCCGUCGUUGAAAUACGACCCUUUUGUGUAUCUGAGGUCUAAUCCCGUUAGGGAGACAUUGCAUGGUGGGUAGUUUGACUGGGGUGGUCGCCUCCAAAAGUGUAACGGAGGCUUCUCAAGGUACCCUCAAGGCGUUUGGUAAUCGUCUGCAGAGUGCAAUGGCAUAAGGGUGCUUGACUGUGAGACCGACACGUCGAUCAGGUUGGAAACAAGAGCAUAGUGAUCCGGUGGUUCCGCAUGGAAGGGCCAUCGCU
rnacentral:rRNA from 1 species